UACAAUAUAGGUUUUAGAGAAAUAAAACAUCACAGCUACACCAAAGUCCUAUAUUCCAUAAUCCAAGUCAUAUUGAAGCUGGCUAGAUGUGCUCUAAGCCACACCCAAAGAACAGCUCCCUGGCAAGUCACUGCCCUGGAAAAAACAUCUUAGUGUUAAAUACAACCGAACUUUCUAUUUUUGGGGGGGCUGUGGAGGUGUGAAUAUUAGCAUUAGAAGUAGUCUACUCAGAGAACAAACAAGUCAUAAAUGAACCUGAGCAGAAAAAUGUUAAGUCCAAAGUCUUAUAUACUGUAGAUGAAGUAAUCUUUUGGGCAGGAAAGUGUGCAUGGCUAAAUAGAAAAGUGAAUAGGGUCACUUAGAGCAGAAAUACUGCCCCAAUGAGAGAAGACCUCAAUGAGGAGGGGCAGAAACACACAAAAUGGACACUUUAAGCCAUGUGAGGACACAAAUGCAGUACAAGGGGCAUGCCAACCAAUGAGAGGGUUUCUCAAACCACAAACGGUGAGAAAGACAGACAGAGAGAACAAAGGAUGGCCUCCCAUGGGUAAAAGGCACACAGCAACUGAUGUGCCAUGGUGACAACGUGCUUUGCCUUAGAUAUUACUGAGGAAGUAGAAGCUGGAAGAUCAGCAGUAGUAAACAGUAAGACUCUCAUCCACUGACGCUCCAGAGGCCCAAGAAUUAAAGGCUGGCCAUAAGGAAGUCCCGUUUACAAGGACAUAUAUGGAAUUUGCCCAAGGAACAAUGAACACUGGGUGGGAGCCUGCAGCGGGAGUUCUACACCCAUGCAAAGGACCGUCUAUCCUACAGUAAACUGCAAGGAGCACCUUCCAGGUCCCUGCCCCUCUGCUCAAUGCUCAGAACCUGCUCCUGCUGGACCUCAAGGACACCACCUCCCACAGUUCGAGAGCCUGUGCCCAGAAAGGAAGGUCCUCAAACAGGAGGCCAAGAGAGCACAAGGGAGCUCAGCUGACAGAGACCUGCAGGUAGAAGAGGAAGAAAGAAGCUUGUUGUUUGCUUCAUGACCAUAUCCAUUUAUUUUCCCAGCAUAUAAAUAAAAAAUAUAUAAAUAUAUAAAACCACCACUUUCAGUUUAACGGAAAACUACAACAUAAGAUGCUACUGAAAGAAAUCACAGAACAAUGAACACUGGGAAGGACCCUGAAGAUGCCCACUGCAGUCUAUCUCCUUAUCUAAAUCUAAAGAAACUUAAAAGACUUGUCCAAGGACACAGACCUAAUAGAAAUAACCAGAGCUCAAACAAAGAACUUUUGGGUCUAAGUCCACAGAAGUAGGCAUAGGACAUGCAUACUUUAAAACCUUUUUUUAGCUUUCUUCUAUACCACAUACACUAAAAGAUCCCAUUUUACAUAAGGAGCAAAGUUGCAAGACAUUUUCAUUCCAUUUCCCAAAUAAACCCCUUCUUUCUGACCUCAGCACCAGCUCCUUUUCUCUCCUUAGUUUCUGCUACAUUUAUUCCAAGGUAUCUAUCAAAUCCUUCUUUUUUUCUGGUCCCCUUUAAGACAUCUCUGGAUCCAUCUCAAAACUCCCCCACCUCUGAUGCUUCUCGCCUAUAUCCUCACCCUCCCACAUCUCCUCACCUCUUCUAUUCCAUCUUAGGCCUGGUGAGCUCAGCGUGUUUUCCUUCUUACUCUGCACUCACUGGCCCCUCUAUCAGACAUCUUGACACUUCUUCAACCUUUUAGUCCUCCUCCUCCACCUGCACCCUCCCUCCUGCUCCCAGGAAUGGUUCACCCUUACCACUGGGUCCUCCCACUUUUAUGUGCCAAGUACCUCUUUGAGAAAGGCUGGCUCUCACACCAAAUACCCUAUCCCCCACACACACUCCUCCCAGCCUAGACCCUUGCCUCUCCACUAGCCUCAUUAAGCUACAAUAUUAGUGGUUUAAACAACCAAAAAAGUCAACUUAGAAAAUCAGAUGCCCUCACUGACCCAGCAGUUUCAUCCCUCAUAUAUUCCAACAGGAAGAGCUACACAUGUACACCAAAAAAGAAUGUUCACUGCAACAUGAUUCACGAUUACCAAGAACUGGAAGCAGCCCCAGUCAGCAAUGGAAUGAUUUUCAGAUAAUGAUUUACUAUAAAGCAAUGAAAAAGAACAAACUACUGCCACAUACAACAUAGAUGAAUCUCACAAACAAUGGUGAAUGAAAAAAGCCAGAAAAACAAAUACACAAUGUAUGCCUCCAUUUAGAGAAGUUCUAAAACAGGUAAAAUCAAUCUAGGAUGUUAAAGUCAAGACUGGGGUCACUUCUGGUGAGAAGGGAAGGGAAGUGAUCAGGAAGGGAUACAAGGGGAUCUGGGGGCUGCUGCUAACGUUCUGCUUCUUGACUUACCUGGUGGUUACAUGGUUGCUCAUUUGGGGAAACUCACCAAGCUGUGCACGUAUGAUUUAUGCACUUUUCUUUAUGUGUGUGAUUCUUCAAUAAAAAGCUUAUCUUAAAAACACACACAAAUGGGAACAAGGGAUAGGGUAUGAAACAAAUCCAGUUUAAAACUGGACUGUGAUGAUGGCUGCACAAGCCUAUAAAUUUACUGAACAUCACUGAACUGUACAAUUACAAUGGCUGAAUCUCAUAACAUGCAAAUUUUAACUCAAUAAAGCUGUUAAAAUAUAUAUAUAAAUAAAAGGUAUUGGGUCACUAGAAUGUAAACUCAAUCAAGGGAAGGACUUCGCUUGUGAGGGUUACAUGCCUAAGUCCUGAAAUACAACAGGAGCUCAAAAAAUAUUUGUUGAAUGGGGGAAAAAAUUGGAUCCACCAAAACUUUACUCUUCAGAGUGUCAUUCUUUAUAAUCUCCUUGUGGGAAGUUCUGGUGAGAUUUAUAGAAGAGAACUAAAGUAAAGGCCCUAAUUUCAGACUUUUUAUGUAUUUUGCUUCUCCAACAUAAUAGUGGUUAAGAGCACAGACUCUAUGGGUUCAAAUCCUGGCUCCACUGCUCACCAACUGUAU